UACGUAGGGGGCAAGCGUUGUCCGGAAUUAUUGGGCGUAAAGCGCGUGUAGGCGGCCCGGUAAGUCCGCUGUGAAAGUCCAGGGCUCAACCCUGGGAUGCCGGUGGAUACUGUCGGGCUCGAGUCCGGAAGAGGCGAGUGGAAUUCCUGGUGUAGCGGUGAAAUGCGCAGAUAUCAGGAGGAACACCAAUGGCGAAGGCAGCUCGCUGGGACGUGACUGACGCUGAGACGCGAAAGCCAGGGGAGCGAACGGG
rnacentral:rRNA from 1 species